rnacentral:sRNA from 1 species
AAGUAUCCUACUUUGAGGCCUGUUUGGUGGUUCUGGUGCAAUACGGAAACUUUUGUAGUUUUUAAGUAUUUCGCAAAUUUCAGCAGGACGCAACCAUCGUUGUUGAGCCUCCUUCAGUAUCUGCGCAAUAUCUCUGCGGCACGACCGCGAAGCGCCGCGCGUCCGCCGCCGCC